GACGAACGCUGGCGGCGUGCUUAACACAUGCAAGUCGAACGGAAAGGCCCUGCUUGCGGGGUACUCGAGUGGCGAACGGGUGAGUAACACGUGGGUGAUCUGCCCUGCACUUCGGGAUAAGCUUGGGAAACUGGGUCUAAUACCGGAUAGGAGCCAUCUUUAGUGUGGUGGUUGGAAAGUUUUUUCGGUGUAGGAUGAGCUCGCGGCCUAUCAGCGUGUUGGUGGGGUAAUGGCCUACCAAGGCGGCGACGGGUAGCCGGCCUGUGAGGGUGUACGGCCACAUUGGGACUGAGAUACGGCCCAGACUCCUACGGGAGGCAGCAGUGGGGAAUAUUGCACAAUGGGCGCAAGCCUGAUGCAGCGACGCCGCGUGGGGGAUGAAGGCCUUCGGGUUGUAAACUCCUUUCGCUAGGGACGAAGCUUUGUUGUGACGGUACCUAGAUAAGAAGCACCGGCUAACUACGUG
rnacentral:rRNA from 1 species